CCUACGGGAGGCAGCAGUAGGGAAUCUUCGGCAAUGGGCGAAAGCCUGACCGAGCAACGCCGCGUGAAUGAUGAAGGCCUUCGGGUUGUAAAAUUCUGUUAUAAGGGAAGAACGACUUUAGUAGGAAAUGGCUAGAGUGUGACGGUACCUUAUGAGAAAGCCACGGCGAACUACGUGCCAGCAGCCGCGGUAAUACGUAGGUGGCGAGCGUUAUCCGGAAUUAUUGGGCGUAAAGAGCGCGCAGGUGGUUGAUUAAGUCUGAUGUGAAAGCCCACGGCUUAACCGUGGAGGGUCAUUGGAAACUGGUCGACUUGAGUGCAGAAGAGGGAAGUGGAAUUCCAUGUGUAGCGGUGAAAUGCGUAGAGAUAUGGAGGAACACCAGUGGCGAAGGCGGCUUCCUGGUCUGUAACUGACACUGAGGCGCGAAAGCGUGGGGACAAACAGGAUUAGAUACCCUGGUAGUCCACGCCGUAAACGAUGAGUGCUAAGUGUUGGGGGUCGAACCUCAGUGCUGAAGUUAACGCAUUAAGCGCUCCGCCUGGGGAGUACGGUCGCAAGACUGAAACUCAAAGGAAUUGACGG
rnacentral:rRNA from 1 species